GGAGGAACGGGCGCGUGCGGCUGGACGUUCGGCCGGCGCGCUCCCCGCGUGCGCGUUCACUAGGCAGCCAGAGCUAGAGCGCGCCCUCAGCCGGGUUACCUUGGCUUCCCUUAACAAUGAGCCGGCUAUCUUUGCGCCGGCUCCGAGGUAACGCGGUUCUUCCCUGCAAGAGAGGGAACAGGAGCGGCAGUCACGUGGUCCGGCCGGCGUCGCCGCCAUCUUGUGGUUGUUCUUAUUCUAUUCUUGUGCUCUUUGCUUGGAAGAAUGAGGGUGCGGCCCUGACAGGAUUCGAUCUUGAGUUCAAAGAAAUCCUCCUGCCUCAGCCUUGACGUCCCUCAACUGAAGAAUGGAUAAGGAAAAUGUGGUACAUCUAUGCAGGUAUUAAAAACCAAAGACAUCAUCAGUUCUGCAGACAAAUGAGUGGAGCUUGAGAAUAUCAUUCUGCAUAAGUUAACUCAGAGCCGGAAAGACAGGUAAGGUAUGUACAUACUUACAAGUGGUCAUUAGCCACGAAGUUCAGGGUAACCAUGCUACAAACCACAAACUAUUAAUAUGUUUUAAAUGCCUAUAUUCAUAACUUUGUUGUCUUACAGUAGGUUAAACACCUUUAUGAUACACAUAGUGCCUAGGAACAAUGACAUUGUCUUCAACAAAUCUAUUUUACUAGGUCAUGGUCAUUAAUAUUGACUCCAGAAUUUUUCUUUUUAAAUAUAAAGUAGCCUCCAGAGAUCAUGAGUUUGAACACUGGAUUCUAACCUAGCAAUGCUGCUUUGCAUUUAUGCAAACUUUAUUUUUUUAAAAAAGCUUCAUUUAUUUAUCCCAUGUAUGUGAGUACACUGUCACUGUCUUUGGACAGACCAGAAGAUGGCAUCGGAUCCCCAUUACAGAUGGUUGUGAGCCACCAUGUGGUUGCUGGGAAUGGAAUUCAGGUCCUUUGGAAGAGCAGUCAGUGCUCUUAACCACUGAGCCAUCUCUCCAGCCCUUGUGCAAACUUUAGAAAAUGAAGCUUCCUCUGAAAAUUGGAUUGUUAUGGAGAACUCAAAGUUUAGAAGUGUUGGAAAUUCCUAUUUGCAAUGCAAUUCUUGAUGUCUAUGCCAAAUGUUGAGCUGUACUCACAACACUGUUCCCAGUUCUUUCCCACCAUAAUGGAGUAUUUCCCUUCUAAGUGUAAGCUAGUAUAUAUGUUUCUCACCGCACCUUGUAAAUGUUCACCCAACUCAGUGCCAGCUAUCAGCUUAUACCCAACUGUUUAGUUUUAUGAUUCUGAUGAAACUGUAGUUGUAAACAGAUGUGAGCUCUUCUGUGGGUGCUAAGAAUGGAACCUAGGUUUACAAAUGCUGCUAUUAACCACAGAUUUCUCUCUCCAGCCCCUUGAAAUCGUUCUUGGGAGGCAGGCAGCACUGUGUCUUUUCAAAGAAGGCCUCCUGUGCCCCGGGUUUGGGCAGGCCUCCUGGGAGUCAGGCUGUGAAUGGAAGAGUACUCUCUCUGAGGCAAAGAGGCCUCUGAGUUGGGGAAGAACUCUGUAAUGGGGGAUCUGGAGGAGGAGCAACAUUUGGGAUGUAAAUAAAUAAAACAAUUAAUAAAAUAAAAUAAAGACAUCCUAAUAUAAAAUAUUUAAACUGGCAAAUGUUUUCAUAUGUUCUCACUAAUUGGGUUAUUUAUUUGCUUUGUUAAUUUCAUACAUUUAGAAAUGUUGGAAUGUAUACACCUAUGCUAUGGCAUCUAUGUGGUAGUGAGAGAACAACUUAUUGCUGUCUAUUAUCUAUUUUCUCUAUGUGAGCUCUAGACAUAAAACUCAGGGAGUCCUCUGGUUCCAGUGACCUCAUUGGUCCUUGCCCCGUGCUAUCUCGCCAGCAAGAACACGCGGGGACACAUGAAUUCUUCUGCAGCUUAAAUGUUUAUUGUAUCUUAAAGAGAGGGCCGGGGCGCCGGCAUGGCGGGGCUUAUAUACACCCUAGCGCGGCGCAUCCACAUCUGAUUGGUCACUUACCCAUGAUCUCAUUAGGCACGCCCCGGAGUGGGCAAAGACCUGGCACGAAGGCACUCUUGCACAUGCGCACACAGUUAACUUCCUGAAAGGAAGUCGGCUGGCGCGGCGGAGGCCAGCGCCAUCUUGUAAUGGCAAAAGCUAUCCCGGCUUUCCACGUGGGGCACAGUGGAAGCCAGCGCCAUCUUGUGGUGGUGAAUGUUAUUGCGGCUCUCCACAGGUCCUUACUUGGGUUUAAAAAUCAUUUAUGUAUGUGCUGGUGUGUAUUGUGUAUAUGCCACAGCCCAAGUGUUAAAAGAAGAGAAAAAUUUGUAGGAAUAAGAUGGGCAUUUCAGGGAUUGAACUCAGAUUAUUAGGUUUAGCAACAACCAACUUUACCUACGGAGAUAAUUCUCUGGCAUUCAUUUGUAGUUCUGAGAAAGUGUUAUGAGCAAAUGUUUACUCAGAAUAAAUUAACAAAUUAAAAAAAAAACAGUAGUCUGGGUUCGGUCCCCAGCUCCAAAAAAAAAAAAAAAAAAAAGAACCAAAAAAAAAAAAAAACAGUAGUGUUGGUAUUCUGUCUAAGCUCCACCCCACAGUUGCCUGGCAACAGCCAGUUGUGCCUGACUAUAAAGGGGGCUACUUGCCCUCUCCUCUCCCUCUUGCUCAUUGCUUUUCUCUUCUCUGAUCUCAUGCCUUCUUCCCCUUCAUCCCUUCUCUCCCCAUCCCCCCUUCCCUCCACGUGCCCAUGGCUGGCCUCCUUUACUCCUCCCCUCUUCUACUCUUCUUCUCUCAUUAAACUUCUCCACAUGGAACCAUGUUGGCUUGGUGUGUUCUGUCUGGAUGUGAGCCGAGAUUUAAAUCCCAACAAGUUGUAUAUUGAAGGAUUAAAAAUUAAUAAUAAGCCGCCUAGCUACCCAAAAAGAAGAGGUAGGGUCUGUGAGAACAUGAACUUUUCGCCCCUCCCUUGCUGUACAAUGGUUCCCGGAACAUUCUUGCAUGAAAGGUUUCCUGGAACAGCCACAAUGACCCAUAGCCUCCGGCCACAAUGGUCCAAUGGCCCUGUAAAAUGUCACUACCCCUAAUCACAAUGUCACAAAGUCCUAAAUUGUAUGGGCAGUUUAUGGUUUUGGAAUUCCCCUCCUCCCUCCCUCUUGAUCCCCCUGGUUUGUGGUUUUUUCCUUUAUAAGCUCUGUGAAAAUUCAGGUCGGGGUCGAACUCCUCUACUCCCUGUGUGGCGUAUGAGUCUCGACCCCAGCAUGCUGGCCUGAGCUCUCGUUUCAUCUCGCUCACAAUAAAUCUUCCUCGUGUGAUUACAGCAGGUCGGUGUCUGUGUCCUACUGGGUGCGCGUCUUUCCCGAGACUUGAGUGGGGGGCUCCCUUCGGGGGUCUUUCAUUUGGGGGCUCGUCCGGGAUCUGCGCGACCACCCAGGGGUCCUAGACCCACUUGGAGGUAAGAUUCUCUGUUUUAUCUCAGCGCUGUGUCUGGGUCUGUGUCUAUGUUCUGUCUGGGAAUCUGGUGCGAUCGCUGUUUCGGUUUUGCGGACGCUCAGUGAGACCGCGCUCCAGGAAGGAGAGCGGGGUGGAUAGGGAUAGACGUGUCCAGGUACCCACCGUCCGUUCGCCCUGGGAGACGUCCCAGGAGGACAAGGGGGGACCAGGGACGCCUGGUGAACCCCAUCUGAUAGGUCCAGAGGAGACUUUACUCCUUGACGACCGGUUUGUUAGGCAAGGUCUGCGACCUGCCGAUCAGUUUCAGUGCCUCUGGUCGACACGAAGUCGACGUCGGUUUUGUUUUUGUUUUUUUUUUUCUCUUUUGUUUGUGCUCAUGUGUGUGAGUGUGUGUGAAUUAAGUCCUGUAGUCUGUGUUUUUCGGUACCGGUUUAAGGUCUUAGUGCACUGUCUGGGCAGAUGAAGGAUUCCUGCCCUGUGCACGAGAGUCUUAGUGCACUGUCUGGGCAGAAGAAGGUUUCCUGCCCUGUGCACGGGUGGAAGAAGGUUCCCCACCCCGAAAUGGCGCCUGUGAGUAGAUGAAGGAUUCCUACUCCGAAUAGUCUUUUUCUUUCUUUUUUUCCUUUUUAGAAAGCGCACCGGGGGACGCCCCAAUCGCGCAGGCUCUGGGACUCGUGAGAGACGUUCCACGAGUCAGCCUUUGUUGGGUCCUGGCUCUGGGACGCGUGAGAAACGUUCCUCGAGCCGAAUUUUGUCGGGAGGACCCGGCAACGGACAGUCAAAAAGAUCUGACUGUGACUUUGGAGGUCGAGUUCGGCUGCCUAUUUAAGUAUAGGCACGGACAAGUGUGCUUAGAUGUGUUAGUGUCUGUUGUCUGUAUUCUGUUUCUGUGUUUGGUAUCCCAGAAGCAGCUAAGGUUAAGCUGCAGUUUGGGCCAGGUACUGAAGGUACCAGGCAUCUGUGGAAAUUGGUUAUAGGAUGCUUUGUCUUGGUCUUGUUUGUCUGGAUUGUUUUCUGUGGUAUUGUCCAGUGUUUUUUUGACUUUUGUUUCGUGUUUGAAUUUGGACUGACGACCGUGUUUAAAAUCUUGGACUGACGACUGUGUUUGAAAUCAUGAAACUGUUUGCUUUGUUCGUCGAAGAGUUUUACUUGGUCCCCUUAAUGCUUAGUAAGAAACUUAAUCUUAUGGACCCCGCUCUAGUGGCGGUGUGUUGGUUGAUAGCCAAAGUUAAUUUUUAAAAUAGUGUUUUAUCUGUGCUUGUGCUCGCAGCACACAGUAGAGGGGAGCGAAAUUAGCUGCGGAGCUGCUGCAGCGAGCAUGGGGACUUCUCAAGUCUCACCCAAUUUUUCUGGCUCUUCAGGAGCUGUUUAAAAGGAAAAGGCUUAAGGUAAAAAGAAACACUAUAGAGAGAUUUCUUAGUGAAUUACUACACCUUGGUUCGCGAUCUCUGGGAAUCUCAUGGUGGACAGCUGAGAUAAGCUGGAAAAGGAUUUAAAUUUUGCUUGGGAGCAAAGAAUCUUAAAGGUGGAGUUUCAGCCGGUAUGACACUUAGUGCGUAGCUGCCUAAAAGAUCAGAAAUGCUGUUAAUAGGCUAUAAAAAAGGGACAGGCUGUGUUAGAAAUGCUACAGAAGAAUAAUCUAAAAAGGCUGAGAGCUAGGUGGGGCUAUAAGGAAAACAAGAACAGGAAAGGAAUUUCUGACAUUUGCUCACAGAAGGAGAGUGCUCAUUUAGAGAAGUUCUUUAAGGAAGCCUGCCUUAUCUGCUGUCUUUAUUCCAAGGGAGGAGUCAGUCUCCAGCACUAAAUUACUUGGAGGUAGCCAAGGUCAGGAUUAAUGUUUUCUUUUCCAUGGGCCUUUAAACCCAGUGAGACAGUUUGGUAAAGGGCUACUACUGAGGUCCUGAUAGCCCCAGGUGAACUGGUUACAAUUCUUUUAUCAGCCCCCUGGCAUCUAGCACCCAGUUUCUAACCAUCUCUCCAUCCUUUUGUUAUUAGUUGUUACUAGAAGCCUAGUGUCAUUUGGAGGCUGGUUCUCUUGAGAGGCAAAGCCAUGGAGCUGACACUGACAAUGGCCUUUUUGUUCCAAGAAAGGCCUCCUGGUUUAGCUGUGUGACUAAAUGCUGUUUGCCCUCUUCGGUAGACUCUAUUCUCAAGAUUCUCUUGUUUUCUCACCAUCCCAUUUGAUAUGCUUGUUAGUAACUAUUACAGGUCUUCUUUACCACUGAGGAAAGACGGAAUCCUACUGGAGACCAGAAAAAAAUGUUCCAGACACGCAUAGAAGGCCCUCACUUCUGCCUGCUCUCUUCAUACCCCUGAAGGUAGGGAGUGCUCCAGGUCUGCCCCCAGGCUCCAAGGGUGGGUCUCCUAGGGGCUGGAAAGUGCCCCACCAAUCUGGCUAAGAUAAGGAAAAGAUAUGAAGAGAAAGUUACAGAAACUUGAAGGGUUAAGCUAAGUCGCUGAGAGAGUUAUUGUAAGUUGAUGCAUGGUUCAGGGUCUGUGCAGAAAAGUGGACAGCACCUAAUAGCUGUAGAAGAAGAUGCAGAGAGACAGAAAAAAAAGAAAGAAAGAAAGAAAGAGGUAAAGAGUGCAGGAAGCUAGGGAAGAAAAGAGACUAAAAGAAGAGGAAGCUAGAGAGCUAAAGAGAGAUAAAAGACAAGAGAGGAACAUAUACUGGCCACAGUAGUUAGGGAACCUAAGAAGAUAGUACCUGGCAACAGAAGAGAAUUCCUGGCUAAAGAUCAGUGUGCCUAAUACGAAGAAAAAAAAGGACACUGGGUCAGGGACUGCCCAAGAAAGAACAAAAGGGAGGGGCUGGGGAUUUAGCUCAGUGGUAGAGCGCUUACCUAGGAAGCGCAAGGCCCUGGGUUCGAUCCCCAGCUCCGAAAAAAAAAGAACCAAAAAAAAAAAAAAAAAAAAAAAAAAAAAAAAAAGAAAGAACAAAAGGGGCCACUGGAGAGCUUCUUGGUCCUAGAGUGCUGGCUAUGUACAGAGAUAGAAGGGAAGUGUGGAUACAGGGACCCAAUGCUCUGUGCUCCUAUGCUCCAGUGGGCCAGUAUCCAAAGACCUUGGGUACAGGGGCCUACUGGCAACAAACAAUACUUAUGGACUGCCCGAAGAACAGUGGACCUUGGCGUGGGCCGGGUAACCCACUAGUUCAUAGUCAUCCCUGACUGCCCCUAUCCCUUGCUCAUGAGAAAAUUGCUCUCCAAAAUGGCUUGCGUGGGCUGAAAUGGCUGGGUGAGGCCAUGUGUAUGCAUAUCUACAGACUGUGUAUGCGGAGCUUAAGACCUGUCUCAGUGCACCAGUACCUGAUGCUGGGAGAUGAAUGGCUUAGCGCUGUUCUACUUGGAACAUAUCACUCCUGCCAGCCGGGCACUAACAAUUAUCACCCAAUCCAGGACUUAAACUGUGAUAGAGUGGCUGAUGUUCUGCCUUUGAAUAGAGUGUCCCAAAAGAUGGGACCACUGGUCAGCUGCCAUGGACUAGAUUCUCCACCGGUUGGGGACAAUCUGGUCACCUUGCUGCCCAAUCCGGACCUGGAGCCACCACAGCACGAGUGUCAAGCACUGGCAGAAGCCCAUGGGUGGAGGAAAGACCUCUGCGACUGGCUGAUUGACCCCUGCUGAAACCCGAGGACCUUGUCCACAGACGGGAACAGUUCUCUUCAUGAAUGAAGGUCAGAGACAAGUGGGUGCUGCCAUGGUGGACAACACAAUGUCAUCUGGGAUGGCUCAACCCCCCAGUACAUCAGUGCCGCAGAUGCCUUUGCCAUCUCUUGGAUGUCCUGAUGAAGCCAACAACUGUGAGUACUAUUCAUUGCUCAGGAUAUCAGGAGGGAAGAGAUUCAGUGACAUGGGGCAAUAACGAAGCAGAUAAAGUGGCUCGAAAAAUGGUUAUGCAGGAGCCCAUCCUGGUUGCAGGCCUGCAAGAGACAGCCACUGAGAACUAGGAUCGGACUAAGGGAUGGCCUCACUUAGAAAAGGCCCAAAUUGCUUUAAAAAAAAAAGACAAUGGCACACUUGAGGGAAAAGCUAUACUCCCCAGAGAAUAAAGGAAAGACUCACUUUGCCAAAUACAGAAAUGGACUCAUUUAGGAGAUAAAAAGUUUGUCCAAGUAGUUAAGUGUAUGUAAUAGACUUUAAGAUUUUAGCCAGAGAGACAGUAGAAAGUAUAAGGUAUGUCAAUAAGUGAAUGCUUAACAAGCAAACAGGGCAAAGAGACCUAGAGAGUUUGGUGAAAAGUCGAAGUGAACUUCACUGAGAUAAAACCAGAAAAAUAUAAUCACAAGUAUCUCCUAGUGCUUGUAGAUACUUUUUCAGGAAUAGAUAGAAGCUUUCCUCACCAAACAAGAGACGGCCUCUGCAAUCAUCAAGAAGAUACUGGAAGAAAUCUUCCUCCGAUUUGGAAUGCCCAAGGUAAUCUGGUCAGACAACGGCCCUACUUUCGUUGCCAAGGUAAGCCAGGGUGUGGCCAAGUAUUUAGAGGUCGAUUGGAAAUUACAUUGUAUUUACAGACCUCAAAGUUCAGGACAGGUAGGGUAAAUAAAUAGAACUCUAAAAGAGACCCUGACCAAAUUAACCAUGGAGACUGGCACAGACUGGGUGACACUCCUUCCCUCUUGCUCUCUUCAGAGCAAGAAAUACCCCUUCCAGAUUCAGCCUUACCCCCUUUGAGAUCUUAUAUGGGGCCUCAGCCCCCCUGACUGUAUUAGAUGAUGUUACUGAACCAACAUGUCAUAGUGCCAUAGUAAUAAUGAUUUGUGUGCCAGGCUAAAAGACCUACAGGUGAUACAGAAAGAAAUCUGCUCACAGCUGACAGCAGCCUAUGCCCCGGAGACCCCUGAGACAUCCCAUCAGUUCCAGGUUGCAGCUACACUGAGUCCAGACACUCGAGCCUCGCUGGAAAGGACCGUACCUGGUGCUGCUGACCACCCUGACAGCUGUCAAUUCUCAGCCCUCACCAGCCGUGUACUAGCUGUUGGGGCUGAGAGCUGGGACCUAGAGGGAAAUUCAGUCAUGUUUGUCCUGGGUUCUAUCAAGAUAGGUGUGGGAUAGGCUUGAUUUCCAUUACAAAUGAUGUAACAUUGCAUAUGUUAGUACUCUUAACACUUCUUGGGACUGUGCCUCAGGGAUCACAGUCCGUAUAAGCUUAGAAGUUCUAAAAGCUAGUCAUGACCUUGGUGGAUAGGCUUGGAUAGUGUCCAGGUUAGAAUCCUCAUGUUAAGACUACAAUACCAAGCUGUUAUGCUAGAUGAAGCUGAGUUCUCCAUGAAGUUCUAGGAUUAGAACUAUUAACAAAAAGAAGAAGUGGGGAAUGAAGGAUUAAAAAUUAAUAAUAAGCCGCCUAGCUACCCAAAAAGAAGAGGUAGGGUCUGUGAGAACAUGAACUUUUCGCCCCUCCCUUGCUGUACAAUGGUUCCCGGAACAUUCUUGCAUGAAAGGUUUCCUGGAACAGCCACAAUGACCCAUAGCCUCCGGCCACAAUGGUCCAAUGGCCCUGUAAAAUGUCACUACCCCUAAUCACAAUGUCACAAAGUCCUAAAUUGUAUGGGCAGUUUAUGGUUUUGGAAUUCCCCUCCUCCCUCCCUCUUGAUCCCCCUGGUUUGUGGUUUUUUCCUUUAUAAGCUCUGUGAAAAUUCAGGUCGGGGUCGAACUCCUCUACUCCCUGUGUGGCGUAUGAGUCUCGACCCCAGCAUGCUGGCCUGAGCUCUCGUUUCAUCUCGCUCACAAUAAAUCUUCCUCGUGUGAUUACAGCA